UACCUUAGUUUCCUCAUGAGUAAAAUGUGGGGUGUGUGUGUAAGGACUGGUUUCUGUUCAAAACUAUGAGGUAAGCCCAUGUUAGGGGCGCAUGACAUUACCUCAAACAGCUCGAUCCAUGAGUGAGAUAUAAUCAGAGAUGGAUGCUUUGAACUGAUCCCCCCCUACCCCCACCUCUGAAAUCGUAAACGAAAAGCACCGAUGGACAAAAUAAAUAGUAAAUCCUUGGGAUGAGCACUAAACAGAAAGGAAGCUCUCCCCUCAGCUCCAACUUCUACCGCUCUCCACUAUCUCUCAGUUUUCCUCGUUAGUCGUCUUACCAGAUAAUAGCACUAGGCUCACCUGCCAAUCAGACCAAAACAACCACCCAUCGAGAAGAAAGAAAGAGGGUGGUAGGCAGCGGUGCUGAGGGGGUGGGGGGAGGGAAGAGAGGAUAGGUGAGGAGUGGAGAGGAGAGGAGGUCGUGCAAAACAAAAACAUUUGCAGAUGUCACAGAGACCCAAAGGGGAAGAUUCCAUCAAAGUAGUAAACUCCAGAAAGCUGCAUUCUCUCUAGUUCAGAUCCACACCAGCAGCCCCUGGCACCUGUUGGGAUGGGGAAAUAACCCAGAUAGAUGGAGCUGAACCAACCUCAAGCACCAGGUGACUCAAUCCUUCCCACUAGCAGCAGCCUGCUUCCGAGGCAGUCCGCGGGCUCACUAGCUCCCUUUGGAAUGGCUUUGCUUAGGGGAAGGGACGUGAAGCUCUUCACCAGGGAAAAAUCAGCCUAGUUCUUUGCUGCGCCUUUCUCGACCUCCGUCUCAGUCCUGGCGAACAACCUCAAGUAGCCGCAAUCUCAGAAGCCAGAGUCCAUAGGUACCAGCUCCGGGGACGCAGCAACCAGCCAGAGCGAUCAGCACAGGAGGUGCUUCCUCCGGUUUCUGUCUCUCUCUCUCGGGGGAAAGAGGAACGACCUGUACCGAGCCGAGGCCCCGGGGCACCUGGCUACCGCGAGCUGCCGGCACUCAAAGUCUAGGAUCCAGACAACAACGCGCGGAGGUGGACAAGCUGAGAGUCUCUGUGCCAGAGGUGCCAGACUGUCCACGACCCCGCGGACUCUCGGCGCGCACACACACCCCCUUUCCGAACUCAUGGGGUUUUCUGGGAAAAGAUACUGGAAUGGUUUGCCGUUUCCUUCUCCAGCUCAUUUUACAGAGGAAGAAACUGAUGUAAACAGGAUGAAGUGACUUGCUCAGGGUCACAUAGCUUAGACCAGUGGCAUCAAUAAGGGAUAUGUUUUGACUUGUGUGUGAAUUGGAUUGAAGUGAGGCAAAGUUGCACAAAGUCAACCUCAUUCUCUAUUCCAGCCAUCAAAGUCCAGUGGCAAGAUAAAAGACAAGAUUAUUGGCAAUGACUUGGGAUACAGUGGUGAAGUCUUUACAUGUUUGGCAUAUAGGAGGCACUUAAUAAAUGCUUGUUCCAUCUCCA
rnacentral:lncRNA from 1 species